rnacentral:rRNA from 1 species
UUUAUGGAGAGUUUGAUCCUGGCUCAGAGUGAACGCUGGCGGCGUGCCUAAUACAUGCAAGUCGAACGAUGAAGCUUCUAGCUUGCUAGAAUGCUGAUUAGUGGCGCACGGGUGAGUAACGCAUAGGUCAUGUGCCUCUUAGUUUGGGAUAGCCAUUGGAAACGAUGAUUAAUACCAGAUACUCCCUACGGGGGAAAGAUUUAUCGCUAAGAGAUCAGCCUAUGUCCUAUCAGCUUGUUGGUAAGGUAAUGGCUUACCAAGGCUAUGACGGGUAUCCGGCCUGAGAGGGUGAACGGACACACUGGAACUGAGACACGGUCCAGACUCCUACGGGAGGCAGCAGUAGGGAAUAUUGCUCAAUGGGGGAAACCCUGAAGCAGCAACGCCGCGUGGAGGAUGAAGGUUUUAGGAUUGUAAACUCCUUUUGUUAGAGAAGAUAAUGACGGUAUCUAACGAAUAAGCACCGGCUAACUCCGUGCCAGCAGCCGCGGUAAUACGGAGGGUGCAAGCGUUACUCGGAAUCACUGGGCGUAAAGAGCGCGUAGGCGGGAUAGUCAGUCAGGUGUGAAAUCCUAUGGCUUAACCAUAGAACUGCAUUUGAAACUACUAUUCUAGAGUGUGGGAGAGGUAGGUGGAAUUCUUGGUGUAGGGGUAAAAUCCGUAGAGAUCAAGAGGAAUACUCAUUGCGAAGGCGACCUGCUGGAACAUUACUGACGCUGAUUGUGCGAAAGCGUGGGGAGCAAACAGGAUUAGAUACCCUGGUAGUCCACGCCCUAAACGAUGGAUGCUAGUUGUUGGAGGGCUUAGUCUCUCCAGUAAUGCAGCUAACGCAUUAAGCAUCCCGCCUGGGGAGUACGGUCGCAAGAUUAAAACUCAAAGGAAUAGACGGGGACCCGCACAAGCGGUGGAGCAUGUGGUUUAAUUCGAAGAUACACGAAGAACCUUACCUAGGCUUGACAUUGAGAGAAUCCGCUAGAAAUAGUGGAGUGUCUGGCUUGCUAGACCUUGAAAACAGGUGCUGCACGGCUGUCGUCAGCUCGUGUCGUGAGAUGUUGGGUUAAGUCCCGCAACGAGCGCAACCCCCUUUCUUAGUUGCUAACAGGUUAUGCUGAGAACUCUAAGGAUACUGCCUCCGUAAGGAGGAGGAAGGUGGGGACGACGUCAAGUCAUCAUGGCCCUUACGCCUAGGGCUACACACGUGCUACAAUGGGGUGCACAAAGAGAAGCAAUACUGCGAAGUGGAGCCAAUCUUCAAAACACCUCUCAGUUCGGAUUGUAGGCUGCAACUCGCCUGCAUGAAGCUGGAAUCGCUAGUAAUCGCAAAUCAGCCAUGUUGCGGUGAAUACGUUCCCGGGUCUUGUACUCACCGCCCGUCACACCAUGGGAGUUGUGUUUGCCUUAAGUCAGGAUGCUAAAUUGGCUACUGCCCACGGCACACACAGCGACUGGGGUGAAGUCGUAACAAGGUAACCGUAGGUGAACCUGCGGUUGGAUCACCUCCUUU